GACCCUAUAGAGUUUUAUAUUUUAUAGAAUUUAUCUUUUUUAGAAUUUAUAAAUUGAAUUUUAUUAAAUAUUUGGUUGGGGUGAUUGAAAAAUUAAAAAAACUUUUUUUAUAUUAAGUCAUUUAUUUAUGAAUAUUUGAUCCAUUAUUAGUGAUUAUAAGACUAAAUUACCUUAGGGAUAACAGCGUAAUUUUUUUUGAGAGUUCAAAUCGAAAAAAAAGAUUGCGACCUCGAUGUUGGAUUAAAAUAAAUAUUUGGUGUAGAAGCUAAAUUAAUUGGGUCUGUUCGACCUUUAAAAUUUUACAUGAUCUGA
rnacentral:rRNA from 1 species